GUUCUGACAAAAGGUACACGUGGCUCUGUAUAUUUUGAAUGGCAAGUGUUUUUUAAAGUCGUUUAUAAAGAAAUAUAGAAGUUUUUGAACACAUUUGAUAACAGAUAUCACUGAAAUAAUGCCUGGAUGUUCGGCUUUCGGUUGUUCUAAUUCUUCAGUAAGAGGAUAUAUUGUGAAAUGUUUUCUGAGAGAUCCCAUUCGGAGAAAAAUUUGACCCAAAAGAGUGCGCCGAGAAAAUUGUAAGUCUACGAAUAAUUCUUGUUUGUGUGAAGUUCAUUUUGAACCAUAAAUGUGGGAAAAAAGUGAGAGUUGACGGGAAGAAGAAA